GAGGGUUCUCACCCCCCACUCCUUGAAGUCUGGCCAUUUGGGUGGGAGAGGCUGGAGCAGCCAGUGAGGACACUCAGCAUAGUGUGGGCAACCAGACAGGAUGGAUUUGAAUUUAUAAAGAACCUGCCUUCCUUCCUUCAUGUUCCAAGCAAAUGUUCCAGGUAUUUAAGCCACAUGCUGGGGAGGAUUAUAAAUAUCCAAGGGAAACAGAGACCAUCUGGAGUUAUCCCUACAUUGUGGAGGGGUCCCACAAGAGCCCAUUGGAGAGCUUGUCACUUCAUGGCUGCUGAGCUGCCAUGGCUCCUUCCAUCACAUCCUCACAAGACAGCAGCCCAAGCCAAAGGGACCAAAAAGGCCUCUCCUUGGACUUAUUGCUUACCAGAAAGAAAAGGUCCCAAGGCCUCCACUGGUCUCAUUGGCAAGGACUGAAUCACAUGUCCGUCAAGAUUCACACCCCUGAGCAGGGCUCCCCGUCCCUUGGACAGAAUUGGAGUUGGGGCAACAGGAAAGAAAAGGGUGUUACACAGCAACAAGUGCCCACCACAGGUACCCACAGCUUCUUCCAUUGCUCCUUGGAAGGCAACAAGGGGAAACCCCAUCAUUUUAGAGAGCUUUGUUAUCAUUACAUUUCAAUAACAAAAGGUCAUUUCCCUUUUUUGCCAACCUCCUCAUUGGGAACAAAAUGUGGCUGGGGGCUUUCUUUCUGAAGUUUACAAAUCCGUCUCCCACCUGCCAACCCAGCACCUGGGCAGGUGUAUUCACUCACAGGUGUCAGGCUGGCAGAUGGGUCAAACAGAAUGGGGGAAUGGGAUUAAGAAGUGUCACCCACCCCCAUCCCCUGAAUGGGAACAAAUCUAUGUCACCGAGUUUACCCUUGCUCUGAGGGCCUCAGACAAGGUGCCUGCACCUGGUUAUCAGAUGCAGUGAGAGGAGAAGGAAAGGACUUUCACCUUUUACUUAAUGUAUUCUGCUUUGUUUGUAAUGAGUGUGCACUCUUGCCAUGGUUUUUUAAUUGAAUACAAUUUUUCCAACA